UAAGACGGAGGGGGCAAGCGUUGUUCGGAAUUACUGGGCGUAAAGGGUGCGUAGGCUGUUAUGUGUGUCAGAGGUGAAAUCCCCGAGCUUAACUUGGGAACUGCCUUUGAAACUGCAUGACUUGAAUGAUAGAGAGGCAAGUAGAAUUCCGAGUGUAGAGGUGAAAUUCGUAGAUAUUCGGAGGAAUACCGGUGGCGAAGGCGGCUUGCUGGCUAUUUAUUGACGCUGAGGCACGAAAGCGUGGGGAGCAAACAGG
rnacentral:rRNA from 1 species